rnacentral:rRNA from 1 species
UACGUAGGGGGCUAGCGUUGCUCGGAAUGACUGGGCGUAAAGCGCGCGUAGGCGGCUCGGUAAGUCCGCUGUGAAAGUCCAGGGCUCAACCCUGGAAAGGCGGUGGAUACUGCCGGGCUAGAGUCCGGAAGAGGCGAGUGGAAUUCCUGGUGUAGCGGUGGAAUGCGCAGAUAUCAGGAAGAACACCGGUGGCGAAGGCGGCUCUCUGGGCCGUAACUGACGCUGAGGAGCGAAAGCGUGGGUAGCGAACAGG